rnacentral:rRNA from 1 species
CCUACGGGGGGCAGCAGUGGGGAAUAUUGCGCAAUGGGCGAAAGCCUGACGCAGCGACGCCGCGUGAGGGAUGAAGGUCUUCGGAUCGUAAACCUCUGUCAGCAGGGAAGAACGGUUACUGUGCUAAUCAGCAGUGAAUUGACGUUAUCUGCAAAGGAAGCACCGGCUAACUCCGUGCCAGCAGCCGCGGUAAUACGUAGGUGGCGAGCGUUAUCCGGAAUGAUUGGGCGUAAAGGGGGCGUAGGGGGCCUGUAAGGUAUGGGGUGAAGGGUACGGGCUAAACCGGUACAGGCACUGGAAACUGGCGGGCUAGAGUGCAGGAGAGGGCGGUGGAACUCCAUGUGUAGCGGUGAAAUGCGUAGAUAUAUGGAAGAACACCAGUGGCGAAGGCGGCCGCCUGGCCUGUUACUGACGCUGAGGUGCGAAAGCGUGGGGAGCAAAUAGGAUUAGAUACCCGGGUAGUC